UUACGGCCAUAUCACAUUGAAACACCUGUUAUUGUCAGAUCACCAAAGUUAAGCAACAUUGAGCCUGAUCAAUACCUAGAUGGGUGAGCACUCUGGAAUACCAGGUGCUGUAA
rnacentral:rRNA from 1 species